rnacentral:lncRNA from 1 species
AUGCUGACUGGCUGCUCCAUGAUGACUGGCAGCUCUGGCUGCUCCAUGCUGACUGGCUGCUCCAUGCUGACUGGCAGCUCUGGCAGCUCCAUGCUGACUGGCAGCUCCAUGCUGACUGGCAGCUCCAUGCUGACUGGCAGCUCCAUGCUGACUGGCAGCUCCAUGCUGACUGGCAGCUCUGGCUGCUCCAUGCUGACUGGCAGCUCCAUGCUGACUGGCAGCUCUGGCUGCUCCAUGCUGACUGGCUGCUCCAUGCUGAUUGGCUGCUCCAUGCUGACUGGCGGCCCUGGCUGCUCCAUGCUGACUGGCGGCCCUGGCUGCUCCAUGCUGACUGGCGGCCCUGGCUGCUCCAUGCUGACUGGCGGCCCUGGCUGCUCCAUGCUGACUGGCAGCUCUGGCGGCUCCUUGCUGACUGGCAGCUCUGGCGGCUCCUUGCAGACUGGCAGCUCUGGCGGCUCCUUGCAGACUGGCAGCUCUGGCGGCUCCUUGCAGACUGGCAGCUCUGGCGGCUCCUUGCAGACUGGCAGCUCUGGCGGCUCCUUGCAGACUGGCAGCUUUGGCGGCAUCCUGCAGACAGGCAGCUCUGGCGGCUCCUUGCAGACUGGCAGCUCCUUGCAGACUGGCAGCUCUAUGCAGACUGGCAGCUCCUUGCAGACUGGCAGCUCCUUGCAGACUGGCAGCUCUAUGCUAACUGGCAGCUCUAUGCUAACUGGCAGCUCUAUGCUAACUGGCAGCUCUAUGCUAACUGGCAGCUCCUUGCAAACUGGCAGCUCUAUGCUAACUGGCAGCUCCUUGCAAACUGGCAGCUCCUUGCAAACUGGCAGCUCCUUGCAAACUGGCAGCUCCUUGCAAACUGGCAGCUCCUUGCAAACUGGCAGCUCCUUGCAAACUGGCAGUUCUGAACAGGCGGGAGACUCCGGCAGCACUGUAGAGAAGGAAGGCUCUAACAGCGCUAAACAGGCGGGAGACUCCGACAGCGCUGGAGAGGAGGAGGGCUCCGACAGCGCUGGACAGGCGAGGCGCACUGUAGGCCUGAUGCGUGGUGCUGGCACUGGUGGUACUGGGCCGAGGACACGCACAGGAAGCCUGGUGCGGGGAGCUGCUACCGGAGGGCUGGGGUGUGGAGGUGGUACUGGAAAAACCGGACCGUGCAGGCGCACUGGAGCUCUUGAGCACCGAGCCUGCCCAACCUUACCUGGUUGA